GUGUCAGCAGCCGCGGUAAUACGUAGGUGGCGAGCGUUGUCCGGAAUUACUGGGCGUAAAGGGAGCGUAGGCGGUUUUUUAAGUGGGAUGUGAAAUCCCCGGGCUCAACCUGGGAAUUGCAUUCCAAACUGGGAGACUAGAGUGCAGGAGAGGAAAGUGGAAUUCCAAGUGUAGCGGUGAAAUGCGUAGAGAUUUGGAGGAACACCAGUGGCGAAGGCGACUUUCUGGACUGUAACUGACGCUGAGGCUCGAGAGCGUGGGGAGCAAACAGGAUUAGAUACCCUUGUAGUCC
rnacentral:rRNA from 1 species